rnacentral:rRNA from 1 species
AGGGUUUGAUCAUGGCUCAGGAUGAACGCUAGCGGCAGGCCUAACACAUGCAAGUCGAGGGGUAGAGUACUUCGGUACUUGAGACCGGCGCACGGGUGCGUAACGCGUAUGCAAUCUACCUUGUACAAGGGGAUAGCCCGGAGAAAUUCGGAUUAAUACCCUAUAGUAUAGCGAAAUGGCAUCAUUUUGUUAUUAAAGUCCCAACGGUACAAGAUGAGCAUGCGUCCCAUUAGUUAGUUGGUGUGGUAACGGCAUACCAAGACGAUGAUGGGUAGGGGUCCUGAGAGGGAGAUCCCCCACACUGGUACUGAGACACGGACCAGACUCCUACGGGAGGCAGCAGUGAGGAAUAUUGGUCAAUGGACGCAAGUCUGAACCAGCCAUGCCGCGUGCAGGAAGAAGGUUCUAUGGAUUGUAAACUGCUUUUAUACGGGAUGAAAAACAGAUACGUGUAUCUGACUGAAUGUACUGGAAGAAUAAGGAUCGGCUAACUCCGUGCCAGCCGCCGCGGUAAUAC